GCCAGUGUAGUGCAGUGGUUUGAACAUUGGACCGUGACUCUGGAGACCAGGGUUUGAAUCUCCGCUCAGCCA